rnacentral:rRNA from 1 species
UCCUACGGGGGGCAGCAGUGGGGAAUCUUGCGCAAUGGGCGAAAGCCUGACGCAGCAACGCCGCGUGUGUGAUGAAGGUCUUCGGAUCGUAAAGCACUGUCGCGAGGGACGAAUAAGGGGCGGGCUAACAUCCCGUUCCGAUGACGGUACCUCGAGAGGAAGCACCGGCUAACUCUGUGCCAGCAGCCGCGGUAAUACAGAGGGUGCAAGCGUUGUUCGGAAUUAUUGGGCGUAAAGCGCGUGUAGGCGGCCUUGCAAGUUGGGUGUGAAAGCCCUCGGCUUAACCGAGGAAGUGCGCCCAAAACUACGAGGCUUGAGUGCCGGAGAGGGUGGCGGAAUUCCCGGUGUAGAGGUGAAAUUCGUAGAUAUCGGGAGGAACACCAGUGGCGAAGGCGGCCACCUGGACGGUAACUGACGCUGAGACGCGAAAGCGUGGGGAGCAAACAGGAUUAGAUACCCGAGUAGUCC